CUGGUUUAAUGAAUUUUGUCAGAUAAUGUUAACCGAUGACCAUGACUAUUACCUCAAAGAGAACAGGUUGCUUUACAGACCAUAAUCAAGCACACAUGCCUAGAUUAACAGCUCCAAAGUACUGCGUACUUCUAUAAGUCACCCUGUAAUGCAAAACCAAGUGUGAUUUGUCACCUUUCUUCGACCUCCAUUGCAGCUAAGAUAGUGUGGAAUUUUUCAAGCUUCAUAGGAGGAGUAUUAAAAUGAACAAUGAUAGCAUGCAUUUUAAGGAAUAAUUCUCAGUACUUGCCAAGUCAUGCUCUCUUUGGUAUCUGCAAGUGUGGGAGGGAUACGUGCUUUCAAGGGGGCCUGUGUUUCAUGGUCAUCUCAGGCAGGGGGCUGCAAAGUUCAUUAAAUGAUCUUAUCUUGCUGCUGCUUCUGUUCAAAAUAACCUUGAUAUGAUGAAGGAUUUAUGUUACCCCCACUUCAAAUAAAAAGUACCAAGGGAUGCAUUUCAUUACUGUUGUGUGACACUGGAGAAGCCAGGGCUGCUGGCAAUAUUUUUCAUUUGUUUGUGUCACAAAGAGGAUUUAUUUGCAGGAAGAGCUUGACUUCCAAGAAAAUGAAUAGUCAAUACAUACGACAUGAAGUGCGAGGAUGUGAAACUAGCAACCUGAGAAACUUCUGGGAAAAGACAAUUGAACAGCAAACUCGGUACAUGCAAGUUGAAAAAGAACGUCAGCAAAAAAGUGCUCUGACAAAGCUCAGAAACGAAUGGAUGGAGAGGCUUGAAAAACGAAUAAAGAUGUUGAGAACCCAACCUGAAGACUCAUCUAGUUGAAGAACCCACACUCACUGCAUGUAUGGGAAGAGAAUAGAAUGUUUUGCAGGAGAGUAUGACAGUGGGAUGCAAAAACUCGAGUGAAUUUUAAACUGUGGCUUAAUUGAGCAAUAAAUAAUUAGCUGUCAUUGUCA
rnacentral:lncRNA from 1 species